ACGGAGAGUCUCGUAUGAAGUGCAAAGACGCAGUCGUCUUUCGUCUUUCAUAUGGAUGGAGAGUUACCAGUUUGGUUUCCAGAAUUUAUAUGAAUCUGUUUAUGUCGCUGACAAAAAAAAACUCAAUUAAAGAGCGAUUGAUAAACAAAUAUAAAAGACAGUUUGUAUAAGUAACUACAUUGACGAAGUUAAUAUUCAUCACUAAUACUAUUCAGAAAGUGUUAUUGGUAGAUUAGUUUUUGAAAUUAUUGUACUUGUAAUACACACAAAACAAUGAACUGAUAUUGUAUUGAUUUGAUAAUUGAUAUCUACUUGAUGCAUGAAUGACAUCAUUUACGUAAAGACGCAUAAACAAGAAGUCAAAAAGACAAUACGUAUGGCUGUUUGAAAGGAAUAUUGACUACCAUAUGAAGAUAGAUGAUUUAACUUGUAACUUGUUUAUUAUCAUGUUGUUAUUAUAGUUUAUGUUACUCUAUAUGAAGUGAUUGAAUUUCUAUAAACUAUCUCACAUAAUAAUUGAAGACUAGGUUGAGAUCCACGCUUUGCAUGGGGUGAAAAAGGUAUAAAAAUCAAAUAUUCAAAGUAGAGUUGUUCAAUCCGGAUUUUGAUCUGGUAUCGGUUCGGUUACGAUAUUUUAGUUUAUAAAAAUUAGAUAUCAUAUUAAAAUC
rnacentral:lncRNA from 1 species